UACAGAGGGUGCUAGCGUUAAUCGGAUUUACUGGGCGUAAAGCGUGUGUAGGCGGUUUGUUAAGUCGGGUGUGAAAUCCCUGGGCUCAACCUGGGAAUUGCAUUCGAUACUGGCAAGCUAGAGUACGGUAGAGGGCGGCGGAAUUCCGGGUGUAGCGGUGAAAUGCGUAGAUAUCCGGAGGAACACCAAUGGCGAAGGCAGCUCGCUGGGACGGUACUGACGCUGAGACGCGAAAGCGUGGGGAGCAAACAGG
rnacentral:rRNA from 1 species